rnacentral:rRNA from 1 species
UACGGAGGGGGCUAGCGUUGUUCGGAAUUACUGGGCGUAAAGCGUACGUAGGCGGCUUUGUAAGUUAGAGGUGAAAGCCCGGGGCUCAACCCCGGAAUUGCCUUUGAUACUGAGGAUCUUGAGUUCGGGAGAGGUGAGUGGAACUGCGAGUGUAGAGGUGAAAUUCGUAGAUAUUCGCAAGAACACCAGUGGCGAAGGCGACUCACUGGGCACAUAUUGACGCUGAGGUGCGAAAGCGUGGGGAGCAAACAGG